AUGGCGGCUGACGUAGAUCUUCAAAGAAGAAGAAGACGACACAGAAGAAGAAGAAGAAGAAGAAGAGUUUGGCUGUUAGCCGACUCUGAUAUCGUAGAGACUGUCGUUACCUCUAACAUGGAGAACAAGACAGAGGUCCAUCCCCAAGAACAAACCUGGUCUCUAGAUGAGGAGCCAGCUAAGCCCGCUGUAAGGAGGACCCGCCAGCGGAAUGCUGUUGCAAUGGGAAAGCGGGGCCAGAAAGGCAAAAAGCGGGGACAGAAAGAUAAGAGGCGGGGUCAGGAGGAGAAGGAGGGUGUGACAGUGAAGAGGACGUGGACCGGUGGGAAGAGGAGGUGGGAUAAGAAACAUUACUGUGUGUUCUGCCGACGGCCGCAAGUGAAGAUCGCACGUCACCUGCUGAGGAAACACGCAGACCAGCAGGAAGUAGAGGCUGCCAGCUCGCUGCCAGCAGGGUCCAAACAGCGCCACCUGCUGUUGGAGCAUCUGCGCUGCAGAGGAAACUACCUGCACAACAUAGAGGUGAUCAGGCAGGGCAGUGGAGAAAUCGUCCCAUGUCGUCAACCCUCUGAGGAAGUUGAUGCUAGGAGCUACCUGCCGUGUCCUCUCUGCCUGGGUUUCUUUCUUCGUGCAGACCUCUGGAAACAUCAGGCCUCCUGUCGUAAGAAGCUGGCCUCUGACAUGUUCAGCGAUCCCCCCUCCACAGUAGAGACCCCCUUGGACUCCAUUAAGUAUCCAAUAUCUGAGUGUACAGGUCUGACAGCCUGUAGCCCCACGGAAGAAACCACUCUAAAGCUGACAGAGGACACACUUCCUGACCCCUCAGUAGACGUUGUCACAUAUCAUGCUGGGGCCACAGAAGCUGGGAGCAAACAGCCCGUGACCUCUGACCUCAGUGGGGAUCUGAAUGUGACUUCUCUGCCUGCAUUGGACCUGCCCAGGAAGCGUACAAGGGUCCAGGCUGAAGCGUCCCGCCUCCUCCCAAUUUCCAGCGGUGCAUCUGAAAGCUGCAGUGAGGUUCUUCACCGCAUGAACCAGGACCACGUUUCGUACCAGGUCAAGUCUGACUGGUUGAUCUGUAAAUUUGGAAACAAGUUGAUGGGAAACCAGGAUGGCAACCAGAGGAGGUACGACUAUGUCAGUCAGAAACUGAGGGAACUCGGUAGGUUCCUCCUGGCUGCUAAAUCCCUGGACUCUCAAAUUCAUAACCUCCAGGAUGUUCUGGCUCCUGGCCAUUUGAGCCUGGCCUUGGCUGCAGCCAGAAAAGCGUCUGGGUACCGGUGGAGCCGCCCUCCUCUGGCAAUGAAGACGACACUGAAGACGGUUUGUGAGAUCGCUAUCGGAGAGAGUCUGCAGGAUGGAGACUGGGAGGGUGCAGCUAGGACCACGGACUUCUACCACAUGCUAGGGAGGGACUGGGACAACCUGGAGCUGCUGUACCCUGACCCCGACAAAGGUAACUGCGUAAGCUCUGAAGCUGUUCCUCGUGAUUUCAUCAUCACAGAGGUCUGGUCUGUACAGUAUCCAACUGCUCAGCUUUGUUUUCCGUUGCUCCAGAAGAAGCCAUUGUGA
rnacentral:lncRNA from 1 species